ACUACGGGGUGCAGCAGUGAGGAAUAUUGGUCAAUGGGCGGGAGCCUGAACCAGCCAAGCCGCGUGAGGGAAGAAGGUACAGCGUAUCGUAAACCUCUUUUGUCAGGGAACAAAGGCGGGGACUAGUCCCCGGAUGAGGGUACCUGAAGAAAAAGCAUCGGCUAACUCCGUGCCAGCAGCCGCGGUAAUACGGAGGAUGCGAGCUGUAUCCGGAUUGAGUGGGUUUAAAGGGUGGGCAGGCGGCCUGUUAAGGCCGCGGUAAAAGCCCGGGGCUCAACCCCGGCGAGCCGUUGAGACUGGCGGGCUGGAGUUGGAGAGAGGUACGCGGAAUGCGCGGUGUAGCGGUGAAAUGCUUAGAUAUCGCGCAGAACCCCGAUUGCGAAGGCAGCGUACCGGCUCCACACUGACGCUGAGGCACGAAAGCGUGGGUAUCGAACAGGAUUAGAUACCCUGGUAGUC
rnacentral:rRNA from 1 species